CACACGACUCUCGGCAACGGAUAUCUUGGCUCUCGCAUCGAUGAAGAACGUAGCGAAAUGCGAUACCUGGUGUGAAUUGCAGAAUCCCGCGAACCAUCGAGUCUUUGAACGCAAGUUGCGCCCGAGGCCUUUUGGCUAAGGGCACGCCUGCCUGGGCGUCACGC
rnacentral:rRNA from 1 species